rnacentral:rRNA from 1 species
UUUAACUGAAGAGUUUGAUCAUGGCUCAGAUUGAACGCUGGCGGCAGGCUUAACACAUGCAAGUCGAGCGGGGGAAGGUAGCUUGCUACUGGACCUAGCGGCGGACGGGUGAGUAAUGCUUAGGAAUCUGCCUAUUAGUGGGGGACAACAUCUCGAAAGGGAUGCUAA